GUGGGGAAUAUUGGACAAUGGGCGAAAGCCUGAUCCAGCCAUGCCGCGUGUGUGAAGAAGGUCUUCGGAUUGUAAAGCACUUUAAGUUGGGAGGAAGGGCAGUAAGCUAAUACCUUGCUGUUUUGACGUUACCGACAGAAUAAGCACCGGCUAACUUCGUGCCAGCAGCCGCGGUAAUACGAAGGGUGCAAGCGUUAAUCGGAAUUACUGGGCGUAAAGCGCGCGUAGGUGGUUUUGUAAGUUGGAGGUGAAAUCCCCGGGCUCAACCUGGGAACUGCCUCCAAAACUGCAUGACUAGAGUACGGUAGAGGGUAGUGGAAUUUCCUGUGUAGCGGUGAAAUGCGUAGAUAUAGGAAGGAACACCAGUGGCGAAGGCGACUACCUGGACUGAUACUGACACUGAGGUGCGAAAGCGUGGGGAGCAAACAGGAUUAGAUACCCCGGUAGUCC
rnacentral:rRNA from 1 species